rnacentral:rRNA from 1 species
GACGUAGGGCGCGAGCGUUGUCCGGAUUUAUUGGGCGUAAAGAGCUCGUAGGCGGCUUGUCGCGUCGACUGUGAAACCCGCAGCUCAACUGCGGGCCUGCAGUCGAUACGGGCAGGCUAGAGUUCGGUAGGGGAGACUGGAAUUCCUGGUGUAGCGGUGAAAUGCGCAGAUAUCAGGAAGAACACCAACGGCGAAGGCAGCUCGCUGGGACGGUACUGACGCUGAGACGCGAAAGCGUGGGGAGCGAACAGG